rnacentral:rRNA from 1 species
UACGUAGGGGGCGAGCGUUGUCCGGAGUUACUGGGCGUAAAGCGCUUGUAGGCGGUCCACCAAGUUUGGGGUGACAGUUGCCGACUUAAUCGGCAAAGUGCCUCAAAGACUGGCGGACUUGAGGGCCACAGAGGGACAUGGAACUCCAGGUGUAGUGGUGAAAUGCGUAGAUAUCUGGAGGAACACCGGUGGCGAAGGCGGGUCUCUGGGCCGAUACUGACGCUGAGGAGCGAGAGCGUGGGGAGCGAACAGG